rnacentral:rRNA from 1 species
UACGAAGGGGGCUAGCGUUGUUCGGAAUUACUGGGCGUAAAGCGCGCGCAGGCGGUCCUUCAAGUCAGAGGUGAAAGCCCAGAGCUCAACUCUGGAACGGCCUUUGAGACUAGAGGACUUGGGUACGGGAGAGGUGAGUGGAAUUCCGAGUGUAGAGGUGAAAUUCGUAGAUAUUCGGAAGAACACCGGUGGCGAAGGCGGCUCACUGGACCAUUACUGACGCUGAUGCACGAAAGCUAGGGGAGCAAACAGG